AGGUCCUGAACCUGAAAUCCUCUGACAACAACACUGUACAAGAGAAAAAGCGUGUGGGAGCACAAAUUGUGACCCUUUUUAAGGGAUAGAACGACAGCUGGAUCAGCGGAGAGAGAUGGGACAGCAGCAGGAUGGAGGUGUGGUUGGAUGAGCUUUACAGCUGAAGACCAGUCCAGACGCAGCAGACAGCAUGCCAACGCAGGAAGUGAGAUUGGGUGAGGAUGAGUGCCUCUGCUUAGUCCCCCAUACAGAAGAGCUCAAAGCCCCUGUGAUCUCACCUCCAAAUCCAAAAUGGUACAGGUCCAUGCAACGAUUAUGCUGUUCUCGUGAUGUAGAAAGAGGGGCCCGGUUUGUUUUCGAGCCAUGCCUACAGUAUGUGGGUUCAUUCUAAAGCAUGAAGAAAUUUGUAUGUUUGACCUUUGACCUUGUGGCCCUGCACUGUGAGGCCCCAAUGACCUCCCAUUGCACGGGCGGUGUCGACAGGGCCAGGGGCCCCAUCUGCACCAAUUUCAUCAAUGGAGACGGGUGAAGGCGGUAAUAGUGAAGACAGUGGAGAGACUGCACAGGCUAGGUACUCUCAGAAACAGCGGGACACAGACUCCAGGGAACCCUUAAGAUGAAGAGAAGUUUAUACUGAAUCAUUUGUUCCUUUCCUCGGCCCCUUCAACUGCAAGACAAAUAGAGUAUCAAUCAAAUUUUUAUUUAUAUAGCUCAUUUUAAAAAGGAUUUGUCACAAAAUGCUUCACAGUUUAUGCUGGCCUAAACCCCCACAGAGCAAGCCAGAGGCGAAAGUAGGCCACUGUAGAGCCUGAAUCCCCACAGGGCAAGCCAGAGACAGCAGUGGGCCACUAUAGAGCCUGAACCCCCACAGAGCAAGCCAGAGACAGCAGUAGGCCCCUGUAGAGCCUGAACCCCCUCAGAGCAAGCCAGAGGCGACAGUAGGCCACUGUAGAGUCUGAACCCCCACAGAGCAAGCCAGAGACAGCAGUAGGCCACUAUAGAGCCUGAACCCCCCAGAGCAAGCCAGAGGUGACAGUAGGCCACUGUAGAACCUGAACCCCCACAGAGCAAGCCAGAGGCGACAGUAGGCCACUAUAGAGCCAGAAAAUCUUCCACCCCAGAUAUUACCAGGUAUUUUCCAACGAAACUCAUAAUUUGUCAUUCAAAUAUUCUCUUCUUAGCUGUGCUGUGGAUAUUGCUGCUUGCUUCACUCUAGUGAUUGUUCCAUCCUCCAUAAGUGUGAUGAAUGGGAAAUUGAGUGACAGAAAACUUCUGAUAUAGAAUGCUGUAUUAUUGGGACCUAAAUUCCAUCUCGUUAGGAACUGCUCCUUCUUUGUUAUAAAGGUUUCCUACACAACAUGGUAACCAGUGGCAACAGCAGAAAACUCUAAUUAAACAUGCUCGCAGGCACAAGUAAUUCUAUCCCUCUCAAGGAAGAGAGUGAAUUCAUAUUUAAGAGUGUGUUCAUAUAUAAGAUAAAAAUAUAUUAUAUGAUGAGGAGAACAGACCAUUCAACCCAUAGGUAUAUAAUUUGCCUACCAAACAUUUUUAAUGAAAGUUUUAAUUCUUAAAACUGGCUUUGACUAUUGUAUGGUAUAAUGUUAUGUUUAUUGUCUGUUAUAUGCAAUGAUUUUAUGUUUAUCCAUAUGUCGUGUGUGACAUCUGAUUAUGUAAGAAUUUAAGGAUUAUGAGUGAUGGAUUCUGCAUGACAUUGCAUUUAUUUAGCAGAUUCUCUCAUCCUGAGCAACUUAAAAUAGAAUACUUACAUUGUAAGGGACAUAGGUACAUUCUGAUUUACAUAAACAAGAGUGCCAGACUUGAGUAAUAUUCCCAGACCAGUGAAUGUGUAUGCAACAUCACUAAAGCAAUCAUGCAAAUGAAUUAUACCCUGGAUAUUUUGAACACACUACACUGAAAUAAGCAAUGCAAGAAACAAGUUAACUUAGCCAAAUAAAUUCAUAAAAUUAAGCUGUAAAUUAUUAGCUGGUAAAACAAUUAUCUUUUUUCAUGGAAUGAACACCAGGCAUGAAAUUGUUCAGUGAUUCAGAACAUUCAAGAGCAUUUUCACAUCAACGUGUCUAGUUGAUGCUAUUACCAUAGUUAUAUUUUGAAAACUACUUUUCAGUUAUAACAUUAAUACUCUUUCUAUAACUUUUACUAAAAAUUGUUGAACAAAUUUCUGUGUAUCCUGUUUGUGACUGUCCAGUUUAUGUUUGUCAGUGAUUAGUAGUAUGCACUGAUUGCUUAUGAAUAACAAAAAACAAAAUUGCCAUUAUUAUUAAAGGGACACUGGGAAAAAAAAAAU